rnacentral:rRNA from 1 species
UACGAAGGGGGCUAGCGUUGUUCGGAAUUACUGGGCGUAAAGGGCGCGCAGGCGGCUCAUUUUGUCAGGCGUGAAAGCCCCGGGCUUAACCUGGGAACUGCGUUUGAUACGGAUGGGCUAGAGUUCGGGAGAGGAGAGUGGAAUUCCCAGUGUAGAGGUGAAAUUCGUAGAUAUCGGGAGGAACACCAAUGGCGAAAGCAGCUCUCUGGGACGGUACUGACGCUGAGACGCGAAAGCGUGGGGAGCGAACAGG